rnacentral:piRNA from 1 species
GAACAGGGCUCAGGGAAGUCCCAGGUGAUA